UCCCUGAUAGCUCAGUUGGUAGAGCGGUUGACUGUUAAUCAGCAUGUCCUAGGUUCGAGUCCUAGUCAGGGAGCCA
rnacentral:tRNA from 3 species